GUAAUGGUGGGAACUCUAGGGGAGACUGCCGGUGACAAACCGGAGGAAGGUGGGGGCGACGUCAAGUCAUCAUGGCCCUUAUGGGCAGGGCUACACACGUGCUACAAUGGCGAGUACAGAGGGUUGCCAACCAGCAAUGGCGAGCCAAUCCCUUAAAGCUUGUCGUAGUCCGAAUUGGAGUCUGCAACUCGACUCCAUGAAGCCGGAAUCGCUAGUAAUCGCGAAUCAGAAUGUCGCGGUGAAUACGUUCCCGGGUCUUGUACACACCGCCCGUCACACCAUGGAAGUAGGUUGCACCAGAAGUAGGUAGUCUAACCCUCGGGAGGACGCUUACCACGGUGUGGCUUAUGACUGGGGUGAAGUCGUAACAAGGUA
rnacentral:rRNA from 1 species